AUUGGAGACCGGUCAAAAACAUUGCAAAGUCGAGCGGAUGAAGGGAGCUUGCUCCUGGAUUCAGCGGCGGACGGGUGAGUAAUGCCUAGGAAUCUGCCUGGUAGUGGGGGAUAACGUCCGGAAACGGGCGCUAAUACCGCAUACGUCCUGAGGGAGAAAGUGGGGGAUCUUCGGACCUCACGCUAUCAGAUGAGCCUAGGUCGGAAUAACUAGUUGGUGGGGUAAAGGCCUACCAAGGCGACGAUCCGUAACUGGUCUGAGAGGAUGAUCAGUCACACUGGAACUGAGACACGGUCCAGACUCCUACGGGAGGCAGCAGUGGGGAAUAUUGGACAAUGGGCGAAAGCCUGAUCCAGCCAUGCCGCGUGUGUGAAGAAGGUCUUCGGAUUGUAAAGCACUUUAAGUUGGGAGGAAGGGCAGUAAGUUAAUACCUUGCUGUUUUGACGUUACCAAUUUUAAUAAGCACCGGCUAACUUCCUGCCAGCAGCCGCGGUAAUACGAAGGGUGCCACCCCUCAAUCGGAAUUACUGGGCGUAAAGCGCGCGUAGGUGGUUCAGCAAGUUGGAUGUGAAAAUCCCCGGGCUCAACCUGGGAACUGCAUCCAAAACUACUGAGCUAGAGUACGGUAUAGUGGUGGUGGAAAUUUCCUGUGUAGCGGUGAAAUGCGUAGAUAUAGGAAGGAACACCAGUGGCGAAGGCGACCACCUGGACUGAUACUGACACUUGAGGUGCUAAAGCCGUGGGGAGCAAAACAGGAUUAUAUACCCUGUGUUAGUUCCCACGCCCGUUAAGUAUGCCAAACUAUAGCGUAUGAGGGAUCUCUUGAGAAUCUUAUGUUG
rnacentral:rRNA from 1 species